CGCGUAGGCGGCCUGUUAAGUCAGAUGUGAAAGCCCUGGGCUCAACCUGGGAAUUGCAUUUGAUACUGGCAGGCUCGAGUGUGGUAGAGGGAAGUGGAAUUCCGGGUGUAGCGGUGAAAUGCGUAGAUAUCCGGAGGAACACCAGUGGCGGAGGCGGCUUCCUGGACCAACACUGACGCUGAGGUGCGAAAGCGUGGGGAGCAAACA
rnacentral:rRNA from 1 species